GGAUUCCCCUAGUAACGGCGAGUGAAGCGGGAAAAGCUCAAAUUUGUAAUCUGGCACCUUCGGUGCCCGAGUUGUAAUCUCGAGAAGUAUUUUCCGCGUUGGACCGCACAUAAGUCUGUUGGAAUACAGCGUCAUAGUGGUGAGAACCCCGUAUACGGUGCGGAUGCCCAAUGCUUUGUGAUAUACUUUCGAAGAGUCGAGUUGUUUGGGAAUGCAGCUCACAUUGGGUGGUAAAUUCCAUCUAAAGCUAAAUAUUGGCGAGAGACCGAUAGCGAACAAGUACCGUGAGGGAAAGAUGAAAAGCACUUUGGAAAGAGAGUUAACAGUACGUGAAAUUGUUGGAAGGGAAACGCUUGAAGUCAGACUUGCAUUUUGGAGUUCAGACGCAAGGUGUAUUCUUCGAUUCGCAGGCCAGCAUCAGUUUUCGGGGGUGGAAAAGCGCGGUUUGAAGGUAGCAGUUUCGGCUGUGUUAUAGCUUUCCGCUGGAUUCACUUUUGGGGACUGAGGAACGCAGUACGCUUUUUGCAAGACUUUCGAGUUUUU
rnacentral:rRNA from 1 species